UACGUAGGUCCCGAGCGUUGUCCGGAUUUAUUGGGCGUAAAGCGAGCGCAGGUGGUUUAAUAAGUCUGAUGUAAAAGGCAGUGGCUCAACCAUUGUGUGCAUUGGAGACUGUUAGACUUGAGUGCAGUAGAGGAGAGUGGAAUUCCAUGUGUAGCGGUGAAAUGCGUAGAUAUAUGGAGGAACACCGGUGGCGAAAGCGGCUCUCUGGACUGUAACUGACACUGAGGCUCGAAAGCGUGGGUAGCAAACAGG
rnacentral:rRNA from 1 species